GUGGGGAAUAUUGGACAAUGGGCGAAAGCCUGAUCCAGCCAUGCCGCGUGUGUGAAGAAGGUCUUCGGAUUGUAAAGCACUUUAAGUUGGGAGGAAGGGCAGUAAGUUAAUACCUUGCUGUUUUGACGUUACCGACAGAAUAAGCACCGGCUAACUUCGUGCCAGCAGCCGCGGUAAUACGGAGGGUGCAUGCGUUAAUCGGAAUUACUGGGCGUAAAGCGCGCGUAGGUGGUUUUGUAAGUUGGAGGUGAAAGCCCCGGGCUCAACCUGGGAACUGCCUCGAAAACUGCAUGACUAGAGUGCGGUAGAGGGUAGUGGAAUUUCCUGUGUAGCGGUGAAAUGCGUAGAUAUAGGAAGGAACACCAGUGGCGAAGGCGACUACCUGGACUGAUACUGACACUGAGGUGCGAAAGCGUGGGGAGCAAACAGGAUUAGAUACCCGUGUAGUCC
rnacentral:rRNA from 1 species